GCAAGUCGAACGGUAACAGGACGCUGGGAUCCCUUCGGGGUGAACUUGUCGCUGACGAGUGGCGGACGGGUGAGUAAUACUUAGGAAUCUACCCAGUAGUGGGGGACAACACGAGGAAACUCGUGCUAAUACCGCAUACGCCCUAAGGGGGAAAGCGGGGGAUCUUCGGACCUCGCGCUAUUGGAUGAGCCUAAGUCGGAUUAGCUUGUUGGUGAGGUAAAGGCUCACCAAGGCAACGAUCCGUAGCUGGUCUGAGAGGACGAUC
rnacentral:rRNA from 1 species